GACUGUGAUAUGGUGUUGGUGGGUUCAUCAUCACUUCACCGUCCAAACUUUGCUUGCUGUGACCACUUCUCGCACAACAGGCUACCUUUGUUGUGAAACUGGAUCGGAAAGCUUUGUUGAGAUGACGAUGGCCCUGGUGCAUCGUAUGCUGCUGUAAUGACAGAUGAGCUGCAUCCCGCAUCCAUUGGACUCGAGCAAAAUUCAAUUUAAUUCUCAGAUACGACCAACAUUUCUUCAGAGAACAACCUAAUGAUGUCAGGUAUAUUCCUGGUGCCCAGUCUUUUGAGGGUCCUUUGCCGGCCAUUGAAGCUGACAUGUAUUCCUCAAAAUCCAAGUGCAACUCUUCUUUGUUUCUGGUUGGAGCAUUGCAAUAAGGAUAAGAAGGGCUGAAAGCUUCAAGGUCCUGAGAACUGAUGACCCCACUCGUGUUGAUUGCCGCCACCCUUCAGAAGAAAAACCCCUACAACUUUCUUUGUGACUACAGUUUGCUGGCUUUUGUGGCAACAAAGUGCAUAAAAUGAGAGGAACCGAUGGAACACUGUCUACUCAAAACUACUUGAAUCAUCCGACCAUUGCAGGAUGAGCCUGUUGAUCUGCUGUAGGCGUAAUCAUGCGACAGGUGCUUUGCAGACAAACUGGCGCAGUGCUGAGUGGAGAGACUGCCAGCCCUAGCUGAACUGGACUAACAUUGAUGCACUAAUUUAGACUGAAUUGCAGGUCACACAAGAUAUCAUCCCAGCGUAAAUGUGGACACAAUGACUGGACAGUGUCAUCGGUGCUGCAGCAACUAUAUUGGAGUAUUUUCCUACAUUACUUUUUCUGUAUUUGAUUCAUGU